GAGCUUAAUAAGGUGAUGGGACAGGAAGCAAAAAUGUUUCUAGUGGGUCACUAGGGGUUAUAUUGGAACUAUCCUUUUUCACUCCUUGAUUCCUGGACCCAUGGGUCCUGGCUAGUGGAGAAAACAUGCCAUAUAUUAGAUGCUGAUUCAAAGCAUAUUCCACCUUCUGGAGAACCCUGUUCCAGUCUUCGAAGCUGCUGACACCUAAAUGCCACUAUAACAAUGUCUUCAAAAGGACAUCCCAUCUUUCUAUCAGGCCAGCUAUUUCAGGAUGGUGGGGAACAUGGUAGCCUCCCUGGUGAUGUGAGUAGCAGUCCAGUCAUCCUUGUUCCACAUCUAGUAUCCUCCUAUGAGUGAAGAAUUUUAAGUUUUAUACAAGGGCCAAACUUUGUGUCUUCAUCGUGGCUGAUGACGUGGAUGUCUGACUUGUGUCUGAGGACCGUCCUGGAUUUCUGUGAUGUGGAAGGUAUGCACAAACACAGAAAAUGUCAGUGCUCUGACGGCUGUCAUCUGGCAUGCUACUCCAUGAAGGGACAACUUAAAGAAGAGUUCUGGAGCAGCGCGAAGCCGAGGUUAAUGGGAGAGUAAGUGUAGCAGUGCUGUGAGGGCUGCACUUCUCUAAAUGUUACUAUGUGCUGGAUGCUGAACACGACGAUUCACUCCAGCUGAAGCCUCACAGUCAUCCACAAGAAGGAUAUCGUCACACCUAUUUCAGGCACAAAUAUCCUCAAAUUCGGAGGGCUUCGGGACUUUGCUCAGUAUUAUAGAGUUGUCGGUGAUAGUUAGGUUCAGAUGCCUCCCUUGGCCUCAGAGGGGCCAGGUGCAGAAAAUAAAUACUCCAGUUAAACUGGAAGAUCAGAUUAACAUUGCGUUUUUAGCGCAAUGUCGUGUGUGAUUUGUCUGCACUAUUACUUGUCUGAAAAUAAAUUGAAAUGAGCAUUGGGAAUUGUACCUCACAAUACUCCAAGCUCUGUGCUCUUAACCCCAUGAUAAACUCCAUUUGUUGAUUAACCCUACAUUUCCAUUAACUAAGUCCUCAUCCUCAUCAAGGUUUGAGCCCAGCUGUCAUUGUCUUCUGGGAAGAACCACACAAGCCUCUCCCAUCUCCACACACAUCCUUUCUUACCAGCUACGGCUCCCAGCAGUACUGCAAAUGUCCACAGCGGCAGCAUCUGCACAGAAGGGAAAGCAUGGCUGAGUCUGAGGAACUCAGGUUUUGAAAGACUGACAUAAUCCGGUUCAUUCAGUGCAAUCUAACAAAUUGUCUCAAAAUCGUGUUUCUGACUCACCGUGGCAGAUCCGUCAGGUUUCACGGACAACGAGGGAACACUAAGAUGUCCUUUUAUAGGAGAGCCGUAUCUUUCCAAGCAGUGUCAUGGAAAAGAGGCACGAGAAUGGAGAGGCUCCAAGUACAUAUUUCUAAUUUUAAUCACAGAUAAGCCCAGGUUGGUAGAGUAGGUUGUGUUCCAAGGUGUUCGUGGGAAGAUGAGAAAGUGCUAGAUAUGGAAUGUUCUCGACCGGUGUGCUUAUGUACUGCCCAGAACCACCGUCUGUUCAUACUCCUGUGAACGGCUCCUGUUCCUCCCUCUCUCCUUCGCUCACCAUUCUCUCCAGAUCUGUGGACUGUGAACUCUUUGACAACAGCUGUCUUGAAGACCAACUUUGCUGGCCACACAGCUCAUGCAGCCUCUGAGUGACCCUGGCUUCCCCUUGAACACAGUGACACAGAAAAAAGUCUUCAAGAGCAUGUAGAUGAAAUAAAAGUGGGGAAUGCUUUAUGUUACAAGUCCACACUGCUGACUUAUUAUUCAAGAAUAACCCCGGGGGAAUUAACAGGAGGGCACAUAUUGUGUGCACACCUGGGACCCAACACAGGGGGUACUGAUUGAAGAGGAUUGUGAGUUUCAGGCUAGCCUGAUACACACACUCACACCCACACACACCCUUAAGUGUGUGUAUACCCUAUUUCAAAACGAAACAAGAACAGCUCAGGGGAUAAAGGUGCUGUUUCUCAAACUUGCGUGAACUGGAUCCCCAGAAGUCGUAUGGCAGAAAGAGAGAAGCAGCUACCAAAAGCUGUCCUCUGACCUCCCCAUGUAUAUUGCGGUCUCCCACAGUAAUAUUAGUAAUAAAAUUAAAAAGAGGAGGAAAAAGAUGAAGAAGAAAACAAGGAGGAGGGAGCGGUGUAGGAGUCUCUACCAUCAGACAAAAUUUGAAUAAAAUAGAAAAAAAUAAUUCAGUUUGCACAAAUAGUCUGUGAAAUUGUUUUAAAAGCACAGUGUUAUAUGACAGACAACUGGGGUGGGUUAGUGUGGCAGAUUUCAUAAAGUUAUAGGGGGGAAGAUUAUUUUAAGGACUAGAACCAUUUGACUGGGAGUCACUACCUUAGAAUAAUACAAAAUUGGUACAUAUAUAGAUCAAGAAGAGUCAGGUAAUAAAUAAGUGAAGAAUCCAACAAAAACAGGAUAGAACCAAAAGAUUCCCUAAGAGCCACCAAGAACUGAACUCUUGGGUGAGGGACACAGCUCUAUGUAGAAUGCUGACUGGCAUGCUUGAGGCCCUGAGUUCAAUUUACAGUACCACAAAAGAGACAGAGGGAGAUCUGAGAGAGA